GACGAACGCUGGCGGCGUGCUUAACACAUGCAAGUCGAACGAAGAGCGAUGGAAGCUUGCUUCUAUCAAUCUUAGUGGCGAACGGGUGAGUAACGCGUAAUCAACCUGCCCUUCAGAGGGGGACAACAGUUGGAAACGACUGCUAAUACCGCAUACGAUCCAAUCUCGGCAUCGAGACUGGAUGAAAGGUGGCCUCUAUUUAUAAGCUAUCACUGAAGGAGGGGAUUGCGUCUGAUUAGCUAGUUGGAGGGGUAAAGGCCCACCAAGGCGAUGAUCAGUAGCCGGUCUGAGAGGAUGAACGGCCACAUUGGGACUGAGACACGGCCCAGACUCCUACGGGAGGCAGCAGUGGGGAAUCUUCCGCAAUGGACGAAAGUCUGACGGAGCAACGCCGCGUGAGUGAUGACGGCCUUCGGGUUGUAAAGCUCUGUUAAUCGGGACGAAUGGUUCUUGUGCAAAUAGUGCAAGGAUUUGACGGUACCGGAAUAGAAAGCCACGGC
rnacentral:rRNA from 1 species